AGAGUUCGAUCCUGGCUCAGGACGAACGCUGGCGGCACGCUUAACACAUGCAAGUCGAACGAGAGAAGAGAAGCUUGCUUUUCUGAUCUAGUGGCGGACGGGUGAGUAACACGUGAGCAAUCUGCCUUUCAGAGGGGGAUACCGAUUGGAAACGAUCGUUAAUACCGCAUAACAUAAUUGAACCGCAUGAUUUGAUUAUCAAAGAUUUAUCGCUGAAAGAUGAGCUCGCGUCUGAUUAGCUAGUUGGUAAGGUAACGGCUUACCAAGGCGACGAUCAGUAGCCGGACUGAGAGGUUGAUCGGUCACAUUGGGACUGAGACACGGCCCAG
rnacentral:rRNA from 1 species